AGACGGGGGGGGCUAGCGUUGUUCGGAAUCACUGGGCGUAAAGGACGCGUAGGCGGGUUGGCAAGUCAGAUGUGAAAUCCUACAGCUUAACUGUAGAACUGCAUUUGAAACUGCUAACCUAGAGUAUGGGAGGGGGAGAUGGAAUUAGUGGUGUAGGGGUAAAAUCCGUAGAUAUCACUAGGAAUACCGAAAGCGAAGGCGAUCUCCUGGAACAUAACUGACGCUAAGGCGUGAAAGCGUGGGGAGCAAACAGGAUUAGAUACCCUAGUAGUCC
rnacentral:rRNA from 1 species